AGCGAACGCUGGCGGCAGGCCUAACACAUGCAAGUCGAACGGAUCCUUCGGGAUUAGUGGCGGACGGGUGAGGAACACGUGGGAACGUGCCUUUUGGUUCGGAACAACUCAGGGAAACUUGAGCUAAUACCGGAUAAGCCCUUCGGGGAAGGAUUAUCGCCAUUAGAGCGGCCCGCGUCUGAUUAGCUAGUUGGUGAGGUAAAGGCUCACCAAGGCGACGAUCAGUAGCUGGUCUGAGAGGAUGAUCAGCCACACUGGGACUGAGACACGGCCCAGACUCCUACGGGAGGCAGCAGUGGGGAAUCUUGCGCAAUGGGCGAAAGCCUGACGCAGCCAUGCCGCGUGAAUGAUGAAGGUCUUAGGAUUGUAAAAUUCUUUCACCGGGGACGAUAAUGACGGUACCCGGAGAAGAAGCCCCGGCUAACUUCGUGCCAGCAGCCGCGGUAAUGUCUGUACU
rnacentral:rRNA from 1 species